GUAAUGUUAUCACAGUACAUAUACUAAAAUUGGAACGAUACAGAGAAGUUUAGUAUGGCCCGUGCGCAAGGAUGACAUGCAAAUUCCUGAAGCGUUCCAUAUUUUA
rnacentral:snRNA from 1 species